GGCCAUCCUCGUGUUGACGUGGAUCUAACAUGCAAUCUAACGAUGAACCUGGAGCUUGCUCUAGGGGAUUAGUGGCGAACGGGUGAGUAACACGUGAGUAACCUGCCCUUGACUCUGGGAUAACCUCCGGAAACGGAAGCUAAUACCGGAUAUGACGCACGGAGGCAUCUCCUGUGCGUGGAAAGAACUUCGGUCAAGGAUGGACUCGCGGCCUAUCAGGUAGUUGGUGAGGUAACGGCCCACCAAGCCUACAACAGGGUAGGCAGGCUGACAGUUCCAGCGGGGACGCCUCAGACCUGAGUGACGGCUCACACUUCUACCGGGUAGGCCAGGCAGUGGUGCGAUAGUUAGCACGGAGUUGGCGCAAUGCCUGACUGCAGCAAGCGCCACCGUGAGGGUAUGACGGCUUACGGGUUGUAAGCCUCUUUUAAGUAGGGAGGAAGCGAAAGGUGAACGGUACCUGGCAGUUAAAAAGCACCAGGCUAACUACCGUCACAGCAGCCGCGGUAAUACGUAGGCGUGACGAGCGUGGUCCGGGAAUUAUUAGUGCGUAAAGAGCUCGUAGGCAGGUCUGUCGCGUCUGCUGUGAAAACUCGAGGCUCAACCUCGGGCCUGCAGUGGGUACGGGCAGACUAGAGUGCGGUAGGGGAGAAUGGAAUUCCUGGUGUAGCGGUGGAAUGCUAGAGAUAUCAGGAGGAACACCGAUGGCGAAGGCAGAUCUCUGGGCCGUAACUGACGCUGGAGAGCGAAAGCGUGAGGAGCGAACAGGAUUAGAUACCCUGGUAGUCCACGCCGUAAACGUUGGGCGCUAGAUGUGGGGACCAUUCCACGGUUUCCGUGUCGCAUCUAGGUCAUUAAGCGCCCCGCCUGGGGAGUACGGCCGCAAGGCUAAAACUCAAAGGAAUUGACCGGGGCCCUCACCAGCGGCCGGGCAUGCGAAUUGAUUCUAUGCACCGCUAAGAACCUUACCGAGGCAUGACGUACACGAGUACGCUCUACAAAAACAGAACUCUUUGGAGACUCUUGAACAAGGUGGUGCAUGAUUGUCGUCAGCUCGGUUCUUGAGAUGUUGGGUUUAAGACUCGGUAUGAGCUCGACCCGUCCGUUCUCUGUUGUCCAGCGCGAUAGUGACUGGUAACUCCUAGGCAUACUGGCCGUGCCACGUCGAAUGAGAGGGGGGAUGACAUUCACAUAAACAUUCACCCUAUGUCUUUGGUGGCCUUCCUGAUGGCUACAAUGGCCGGUACAAAGGGCUGCCAUACCGUAAGGUGGAGCGAAUCCCAAAAAGCCGCUCUCAGUUCGCAUUGAGGUCUGCAACUCGACCUCAUGAAGUCGGAGUCGCUAGUAAUCGCAGAUCAGCAACGCUGCGGUGAAUACGUUCCCGGGCCUUGUACACACCGCCCGUCAAGUCAUGAAAGUCGGUAACACCCGAAGCCGGUGGCCCAACCCUUGUGGAGGGAGCCGUCGAAGGUGGGAUCGGUGAUUAGGACUAAGUCGAAGAAGAAACAUAAGAGGAUUCCCC
rnacentral:rRNA from 1 species